UCUCUUCAGGGAUGACAUCAUCCGUUCACCUCCUUGUCUUCAAGGACCACCUCUCGAUGCCAUGCUGCUGCCAAGGUGCUUGCUGCUCACCUCCACCUGAUGGUACCUCAGCCCCUCUUUGUGGCAGUAUAUACUCAACCUGAUGGGCAGAAUCCCCCCUCCCCCCUGCCACUCUCCUUGCACCACGCCCGGGCCCAUUAGCAAUUAAAAGACCAUUUGAGAUUUUAACUCAUUGGUUUUUGCUGUAAAUAACUCACUGAAAUUUUAAUGACUACCUCGACUUAGGCUUUUAAGUGGGUCCUCUAACCUUUGAUCAAUUGCAGAGGGCACUAGGAGUUCGACCCCUGGAUGGCACCAGCGUCCAAAGCAGCCCCUGGCAGAGACCCCUUCCCCCCCCUGUGGACCAGGAUGACGAAGGACGAAGAGGACCAGGACCGACCACCCAGCUCUCCCUCUUGGCUAAAUGCUCAAAACCAAUGCCCUAGUGAGGGGGCAUUGGUCGUUAACCUCUGACCUUUGCUAUCUUUGAACACUUUCCUAUAAGUCUCCGCUUGCGUUAACGUGCCAGCGACCUGGAGUGUUUCCCUCCCCAAAAAG
rnacentral:lncRNA from 1 species